GUGAAAACCAUUUCUUAGCCAGGUUUGUUUGUAUUUGCAUUAAAUCAUAUAAACCAGAAGUUAAAUCUUUCUGUUUCUCUUCUACCUGUGCUAGACCUAUUAUUAAUCGAUAGGAAUCCAGUCUGUAAGUCAAUAAUCAAAAGUUGAACUUUAAUUUUCACCCUUUGUUGGUUGUUAGCUUUUUUACAUAGAAACACACUCACCAUGAUGGCAGUAAGAGCAGAAGUCAUAAGAUCUAACAAUUACUGACCACUAGCUACCAGCAUCCUAAUUUUUUUUUUAACACAUCAUCUUUUUCAUUCAUUACAUGACAGAGGGAUGUAGAUGUAAUUAUUAUCCUCAGGAUUCACGUGAGAAAACAGAGACCCAGGGAGGCAGCCAGCUAUUAGAACUCAAACUGUUAAGUUUGUCUCCAGGGCUGUGCUUCUGACCCCUGCCGGACUACCUACCAUAGAGACACGAUUCGUUCACCAAACAAAUACUAACUGAAAAUCUCCUGUGUGCAGAGUUCUCCCUGUUAGGCACAUCAAGCGAAAAGAUGGGCACCCCAAGGAAAAAGUAUAAGUGUGCCAGGACAGGGUCCUGAUUUCCAGAAAUAAAUCACAGCUUACCUAGUCAACACCUCAUUUUACCUAAUAUUUGACGACAUAAGUGGGACCUUCCCUUCUGUGAUGAUCAGGAAUGGAGAUUGGUAUUCUGUGGACUGAGGGGCUUGCAUAGGUCGUGUUACUACAUGAACUGACUGACUUGGAUUUGUGUGCCCUUAAAGAGGGGAGGUUCAACAAGACACUAAAGCAGAAUACUAGCAGGCUGAGACCCAGUGGGAAAGAAGAGUGAAACCCUGAACAAAGCCUGUCAAGGAUCAAAUUUUUACCAUGUUCUCAUUGCAAAGGAUAAUGUGUGAAAAAGAGGUGGUCUUUCACAUGGUGGGAAAUAUUCCAGAAGUGAAAAAGGGUGGGCAUGGACUCUGCGAUUCUGCUGGUCCUCUGUGUGGUGGAUCAUGGGGGACUCUCUUAUCUUUUGAAACCUUUUUUGUGGACACCCACUUUUAACCUCACUGGAAGUGCUGAGCCCUAUUCAAGGACCCAUAUGAAACCUCCUUUUGAAGAGAUUUCAAACUGUACACUCAUAAGUGUUUGGGAAAUUUAGUUUUGCUUUGGGUAGGCCCAACGCCUUGAGAACAGGUCUAUUGGUUUGUUAUAAUAGGUUAUUGUUACUUUACAUAUUAUAGAAACUCAAGGUUUUGCCUCAGAAUUUGCAUUGGGGUGAUCCUAAAAAGUUCAUAACGUGAUAUGAGCCAAGUAAAGGCAACAAUUGAAUUGGCUUGACUACUCAUCUAAUCUAAAGAUUUGUCCAAGCUCAACUGUGAUAGCCUCUGGGAGGUAUUAUUUCUUUGUUGUUUUGCUUUUUAAGCAGGAGGAGCCACAUGUACUGGAGGACAGUGAGAGGAAGACCUUCUGUGUUUUGAGUAUGUUUGAGAUGGGGUCACCAGUGUGCCUAGAUUCUUUUAUGAGGGUGCCUGAACAAGUUAUGAAAUUGGGAAAUCUUGCAUUGUGAUAAGCACUUGAGGGUCUGUUUCCUGUUUCUUCCUAUCUGUGGAUAAGGACUAUUUUGAAACUAGGAAUAAAUAGAGAAAUGAAGUCAUGCAUGCUACCAGCUCAAUUUUAACUGACUUGUCUUCUCUAUUUACUGCUAGUAUUAUUAUUAUCAUUGUUAUAUUUCUCAUGACAUUGGGAGAGUUUCAGCAAAGCAAUAGUGGAAAGCAAUGUGGAUUAGCAGACCAGCAUUCUGGCUCCUUUCUUUUGUCAUCUGUUGAAUAUCACUUUCAGCAAGCUUGGAUUGGGAACCAUUUUUUGAUGCCCACACCUGGUACCAGGCUGCGGAACUAUAAAGAUUGAUAUAAUAUGGUUCUAGUUCUAAAAUUCACCAGUGACUCACAAACAGCAAGAACAAGUGGAGAACUGGCAAGUGAAAAGUUGCAGUGCAAAGAAAAGGUGAUACCCUCAAAUGUACAUGUUUUCCAUGUGUAGAGGAAGAGUGUGGGAAAGAAGAAAUGUAAAUUUAGGCAAAAAAGUAGUUUAAGUACAGGACUUGAAGUAUUAAAAUAUAAGGCUUAUUUGAGGACAGGGUAGGACAAGAAGUAGAGUGUGACAAGAGAAUAUAGUUUGGAAGUGUUGUGUAGAGUUGGCAUGAUGAGAGAUACUGGCCUUAGGAAAAUGGAUGAGGGGCUCAGCUGUGUAGGCUGUUAUGAGCCAUCAAAUGUUUUGGAGCAGGGCUGUAAUGUGAGCAGCUCUGUGUUUCAGAGGGAACACUGCUAACGUUUUAGAAAGUUUAAGCUUGAAAAAAGACAAUGUGUUCAGCAACGUGCAGUGCAAACUUGUAAUUUGGUACCCUUUUUGAUAGAAUACAUUUUCCCUUUUUAAAAAGAGACUUUUCAGCCCAGAAUGUAUUGGCUGCCUUCCUAUACAUGGUUAAAUAAUAAUAGAAGGUGAGAAACAUUUAUUUUCCACAAAUCAAAUUCAAUUAGACAAUGUUUAAACUUCCCUAAUUGUAUUUACUAAUUGGUACUUAUUUAAACUCCUUAGAGAGUAGACAAUUUUAGAAGGGACGGACUUCUUUUCUCUCAAAAACAUUGAAUAUGAACACUAGGAGCUGAAUGGAGAUAUAUGUAAAAUAAUUUUGAACAAAUGAUUAUUAUAAUGGGGUUACCAAAAGCUUAUACAAAUCAGUAAAAAGUUAAAUAAUUCAGUAGCAAAAUAAGCAGAAGACCUUACUAGGUAAUUCAAAAGUAGUACACUAAACAUAUAUAAAACCAAGUUACCUAAAUAGUUACUAAAAUGCAUAUUAAAAUAAUGAGACGCCAGUUUUUCACAUACCAAAAAAGAAUUUUUUUAACUGGAAUUUUUUAAACUUUUUAUUUAUUAUUCUUUAAGUUCUAGGGUACAUGUGCAUAGCGUGGAGGUUUGUUAUAGUCAGGAACCUCAGGCUUCAGGUCUGUUGGAGUUUGCUGGAGGUCCACUCCAGACUCUGUUUGCCUGGGUACCAGUAGAGGCUGCAGAGCAACAGAUAUUGCAGAACAGCAAAUGUUGCUGCCUGAUCCUUCCUCUGGAAGCUUCGUCUCAGAGGGGCACCCGGCUGUAUGAGAUGUCAGUUGGCCCCUACAGGGAGUUGUCUCCCAGUUAGGCUACUCGGGGGUCAGGGAGCCACUUGAAGAGGCAGUCUGUCUAUUCUCAGAUCUCAAACUCUGUGCUGGGAGAACCACUACUCUCUUCAAAGCUGUCAGACAGGGAUGUUUAAGUCUGCAGAAGUUUCUGCUACCUUUUCUUCAGCUAUGCCCUGCCCCCAGAGGCACAGUCUACAGAGGCAGGCAGGCCUCCUUGAGCUGCAGUGGGCUCCAACCAAUUCAAACUUCCCGGCUGCUUUGUUUACCUAGUCAAGCCUCAGCGAUGGUGGACGCCCCUCCCCCAACCUCGCUGCCACCUUGCAGUUUGAUCUCGGACUGCUGUGCUAGCAGUGAGCAAGGCUCCAUGGGCAUGGGACCCUCCGUGCCAGGCACAGGAUAUAAUCUCCUGGUGUGCCGUUUGCUAAGACCGUUGGAAAAGUGUAGCAUUAGGGUGGGAGUGUCCCAAUUUUCCAAGUACCAUCUGUCACGGCUUCCCUUGCCUAGGAAAGGGAAUUCCCCGACCCCUUGCGCUUUCUGGGUGAGGUGAUGCCCUACCCUGCUUCAGCUCACACUCCAUGGGCUGCACCCACUGUCUAACAAGUCACAGUGAGAUGAACCCAGUACCUCAGUUGGAAAUGCAGAAAUCACCUGUCUUCUGCGUCACUCAUGCUGGGAGCCGUAGACUGGAGCUGUUCCUAUUCGGCCAUCUUGGAACCCCGGAAAAUACUUUUUAAAAUAACAUGUUCCAUUAAACUCUUCAUAAAUGAUAAUUGUAGGGAAACAAGAGCUUUCUAACACUGUUACCGGAAGUACAAUUUGAUGUCAUAUUUGUAUAUGGCAGGUUUUACACUGUGCAUCAGCAGCCUUUAAAAUGUGCUACAUUUCUUAAUAUAGUAAUUUUAACUAAUAUAUUAAUUUUAACAUAAUGAAGUGGAAUCACUUGUUUGGGGUGAAUGCCUGAGGUUCAUCAUCUCAUACCAAGGAAAUCGAGUACAUGGACACAGAAAAACUUGGUUUAGGAGCAGAGGUUUAAUAGGCAAAAGAAAGAGAAAGGAGAAUAGCUCUCUCUCCUGAGAAAGAGUGGGACUUUUAGCUUGCAGAGAAGUGCACUGGAUUUUACAGACUGCCUUCAGGAGGCAGUGUCUGAUUUACAUAGGGGCCAAAGAUUGGCUGGAUCAGGUAUGGAUGUUUACACAGCUUAGGAGGAAGCUAGCUAAUCUUCAAUUAUGCAAAUGGAGCACUUGCCAGCACCAUGUUGCCUGUUCGUUACUCUACACGUGGUUUACAAAGAAAAGGGAAGAUGGAGCCACCAUUUUGAACAUGUGUCCUUUCCAGGUAGCUCCUUUUCCUAUUAGCAGAGCUGCAGGCAUUUAUUCAUGCAAGCUUCCAGCUCGCUUAUCUAUGUCUGCAGCUCAAUCUUACAGGCUGCUCUUUGUUAAAAAGAAAUAAUUUGGGGGUUUUUAUUAAAAGGAAAACUUUACCAAGGACUGUUUUUGCCCUCACUCACUAUCUGCCUAAAUUAUUUAUUUAUUUAUUCAUUUUUGUUUUUGUUGAGAUGGAUUCUCGCUGUCGCCCAGGCUGGAGUGCAGUGGCGUGAUCUCCGCCCACUGCAGGCUCCGCCCCCCAGGUUCAUGCCGUUCUCCUGCUUUUAACUCCUGUAUCAAUAAUAGUUAAUGUCAUGGGAAACAUUUAUAACGUAUUUGUAUGUAUGAAUAAGCAAGAUAGCAAGUUUUAACUAGUGGUUGUGUUUAAUUUAUUUAUACAAAUGUGUUGGGUGCAAGUAUAAUUUAGUUACAUGCAUAGAUUGCAUAGUGGUGAAGUCAGGGCUUUUAUGGUAUCCAUCACUCGAAUAAUGUACAUUAUAACUAUUAAGUAAUUUCUCACCAUCUACCCCACCCUACCUUCUUACUCUUUCAUGUCAGGUGUGCUGGCCCUCAAUGACCAACACAACAAAGAUAAAUUUAUUGUUUUCUGAGACUUAGACUUAGACUUAGAAUUCAAAAUCAACCUAAGAGAAAAGAUGACCCCGAGCCAAUAAAACAUUUGUUUUAUAUAUAUAUGUAUUUAUAAACACACACAUACACAGACAUGUAUAUAUAUGUGUGUGUGUAUGUGUGUGUGUAUAUAUAUAUAUUUGUUUAUACUGAAGAAACUCAUACAGAGUCUUUCCCACUGCACAAACCCAAAAGUAAAGCCACAUGGCCCUAUGCAAUAAACAUUAUGGUAAUAACUUCAAAAAAAAAAAAAAACUUCCUCCAAUGAAUGUAAAUUCGAAAAUAAAAUGAAACAACUAUUUCUCCAGAUGUGCAGAAAUCAAUAUAAAGACACAUAAAGACACAGGAAACACAGAAAAGCAAGGCUUAUGACACUUUCAAAGGAACACAAUAAUUCUCCAGUACUCUAAGAAAAAAAAAUUCAUUGAAAUGGCUUUAAAAUACUUUAAAAAGACUUCAAAAUAUAGAUUUUAAAGAAACUCAAAGAGAGGCAAGAGAAAUCUGAAAACCAGUACAAAAAUAAAUAAAUAAAUUUAGAGUCCAAAUGGGAAAUGUUCCAAGGAGAUAGAUAUCUUUUAAUAGAAACUGAAACAAAAAUUAUGGAACUGAAGAUUUAUUGCAGGCAAAAGAAAAUACAUUCAAAGAUUCAAUAAUAGACUGGAAGAAACAUAAAAAUAAUUUUCAAACCUUUAAACAGGUCUUUUAAAAUAAUACACUCAGACAAAAAUAAGGAGAAAAGAAUAAAAAAGAAUGAAGACUUUGUUUCCAACUACAUGAAGUAACUAAACUUUAAAAUUAUCAGUGUUUCUGAGGAAGAAAAAACAUCAAAAAGUUUAGAAAACCUAUUUAAGAAAACAAUUGAUGAAAACUUUCCAACUCUAGCAAUAGAAUUAGACAUACAUACACAGGAAGCUCAGCAAACAAAAUACAACAAAAUAUAAACAAAAUAUAUUGCAAAACAGACAUCAUAAUGGCACAUGAUAAUCAGAAUAUCUAAAGUCAAAGUGAAGGAAGUAAUUCUAAAAUAAGCAAAAGAAAAGCAUCUAGUAAUUUAUAAAGAAAACCACAUUAGAUUAAAAGCAGACUUCUCAGCAGAAACUUUACUGACCAGAAGAGAAUGGGAUGGCACUUUUAGAGUGUUGAAAAAAAAGAAAACUGCCAGCCAAAAAUUUUAUAUCAAGCUAGAAUAACCUUCACAAAUGAAGAAUAUAAAGUCUUACCCUGACAAAUAAAUGCUGGGGAAACUAAUUACCACUAGACUGGGCCUAUGAAAGAUGUUAAAAAAAAUUCUAAUAUAAAAACAAGAGAUUGAUAUUCACCAUUAUUAAAAUAUAUAAAAGUAUAAAACUAACAGGUCUUACAAAACAAAACAAAGUGAAAUAAAUCAAAUCACAACAUGACAGAAUUUUAUUAAACUACAAAGACAGAUAAAAAAAUAAGACAAGAAAAUAAUUAACAUUAUGAUAGUAACAAAACCUUACAUAUUAAUAUUUACCUUGAAUAUAAAUAAAUUAAAUCCUUCAUUGAAAUGUAUAGAUUUGGUUGGGUGCGGUGGCUCACGCCUGUAGUCCCAGCACUUUGGGAGGGUGAGGUGAGGGUAUCACGAGGUCAAGAGAUCAAGACCAGCCUGGUGAAUAUGAUGAAACCCCGUCUCUUCUGAAAAUACAAAAAUUAGCUGAGCGUGGUGGUGUGUGCCUGUAGUCCCAGCUACUCAGGAGGCUGAGACAGGAGAAUCACUUCAAUAGGGGAGGCAGAGGUUGCAGUGAGCAGUGGGACGAGAUCGCGCCACUGCACUCCAGCCUGGCGAUGGAGCAAGACUCCGUCUCAAAAAAAAAAAAAAAGUAUAGAUUUAUGAAAUGAAUGAGAAAAAAUAACGCAAAUCUAUGUUGCCUACAAAAAUCUCACCUUACUUGUAAGACACAUAUAGAUUAAAGGCAAAUGGGGGGGAAUAUAUUAACACAAACAGAAACCAAAAGUAAAUAGGAGUAUCUAUACUUACAUCAAAUAAAACAGACUUUAAAUUAAAAAGCUGUAACAAAAAAGGAUAAAGAUCAUCAUCCAAUAAUAAAGAAAUCAUUUCAGCCAAAAGAUAUAACAAUUCUAAAUAUAUAUGAACCCAACAUCACAGCACCCUGAUUUACAAAGAAAUAUUAUUAAAUCUAUAGAACGAGAUAGACAGUAAUACAAUAAUAGUGGAGAAAUUCAACAUUCUACUCACAGCAUUAGAGAGACCAUUGAGAUAGGAAAUCUGGCAAAUCAACAAAGUAUCCCCCCAAAUCAAAAUUAUACGAACUACCUACUUAGACCACAGUAGAAUAAAACUACAAAUCAGUAUCAAGAGAAAUUUCAGAAACUAUAAAUUUACAAAGAAUUUAAAUAACAUACUCCUCAACAGUGACUAUGUAAAUGAAGUAAUUAUGAUGGUUGACCAGGGGUGGUGGCUCCCACCUGUAAUCCCAGCACUUUGGGAGGCUGAGACAGGUGGACCACCUGAGGUAAGAAGUUUAACACUAGCCUGGGCAACAUGGCAAAACCCUGUCCCUACAAAAAAAAAUAUGAAAAAAUAGCUAGGUGUGGUGGUGUGCACCUAUGGUCCUAGCUACUCGGGAGGCUAAUAUAAAACGAUCGUUUGAGCCUGGAAGGCAGAAGUUGCAGUGAGCCAACACUGUGCCACUACACUCCAGCCUGGGUGACAGUGUAAAACCUAUCUCAAAAAAAAAAAAAAAAAAUUAAGAUGAAAAUUAAAAAUUUGUGGGAAAAAAGAUGGAAAUAGAAACACAAUAUAAUAAAACCUGUGAGAUACAUCAAAUGUAGUACUAAAAGGGAAGUUAAUAGCCUAAAGGCCUGCAUCAAAAAAAUAGAAAGCUUACAUAUUAAGGACCUGACAUCACAUUUCAAAGAACUAGAAAAUUAAUAACAAAUCAAAUCCCAAGUUAGAAGAGGAAAUAAAUAAAAAUCAGAACACAACCAAAUGACAUGAAGUCCAAAAACAAUAAAAAUGACCAACAGAAUAAAGAGUUGGUUUUUCAAAAAGACAAAAUUGGUAAAUUGCUAGCUAGAUUAACCACAAAUAGAAUAGAAAUCUAAAUAAACAAAUCAGAUAUAAAAGAACAGACAUUACAAUGGAUACAACAGUAAUACAGAAGAUCACUAGAAACGAUUAUAAACAACUAGACACUCACAAACCUGAAAACCUAGAAAGAAUGAAUAAAUCCAUGGAAACAAACAACCUCCCAAGAUAGAGUCGGGAAGAAAUAGAGUACCUGAACAAACCAAUACUGAGUAGCAUGAUUGAGUCAGCAAUAAAAAAAAAUGUCUUGACAAAGAAAAGCUCAGGACUAAAUGCACAGCAAAAUUCUACCAAGUGUACAAACAAUAAUAAUCCUCCUGAAACUCUUACCAAAAAUUGAGGAUAAUAAAACUCUUCCUAAGUCACUCAGAGGUCAGUAUCACCCUGAUACCAAAACUAGCCAAGGACACAACAAAGAAAACUAUUAUUAAAUUAUUAUUUAUUAUAUUAUUAUUAUAAAAAAUAGACAAAUGGAAAUCAAACUAAAAGUUUUGGCACAGAAAAAAAAAUCAGCAGGGUAAAUAUGCAAGCUACAGAAUAAAAGAAAAUAUUUGCAAACUACGUGCCAACAUGGAACUAAUAUUCAGUACUUACAAAUAACUCAAACAACUCAAAAAUAUAAUAAUAGUAAUAAUAAAGAAUUCUAUUGACAAUUGAGCAAAUAACAUUACUAAUCAUUUUUCAAUAAAGACAUACAAAUAGCCAACACGCAUAUGAAAAAAAUGCUCAAUCUCAACUAAAAAUAAAACUGCCAUUUUUUUUUUUUUUUUUGAGACGGAGUCUUAGUUGUCCAGGCUGGAGUGCAGUGGUACGAUCUCAGCUCACUGCAACCACUGACUCCCAGGUUCAAGCAAUUCUUCUGUGUCAGCCUCCUGAGGAGUUGGGGCUGCAGGCAAGUGCCACCACGCCUGGCUAACUUUUGUAUUUUUAGUAGAGACGGGGUUUCACCAUAUCGCUCAGGCUGGUCUCAAACUUCUGACCUCAUGACCUGCCCGCCUCUACCUCCCAAAGUGUUGGGAUUACAGGCGUGAGCUACCACGCCUGGCCAGAACUAUCAUUUGAUUCAGAAAUCUCAUCAUUGGGUAUCUACCCAAAGAAAAAUAGUUUAUUAUAUGAAAAUGAUACGUAUACUUGCACAUUUAUUGCAGCAUGCUCACAACAGCAAACUGUAUAUAUCAGAAAAGCUUAAUAUUCAAAAUAUAUAGAAAAUUCAAAGCAAAAGCAAGUAUAAUAAUAACAAUAAUAAUCCAACUAAAAAAUGGUUGAAAGAGUGAAAAAAAUAUUUUGCCAACAAAUAUAUACAAAUGACCAAUAGAUAUAUAAAAAAGUGCUCAAUAUCACCUACCAAAAGGCAACUGCAAAUGAAAACAAUGAUGAGCUAUCACUCGAAAUCUGUUAGGAUUGCUAAUAUUAAAAAAAAAUAGAGAAGUAACAUCUGUCAUUCAUGUUCCUGUGAUUUCUGAAACAAAUCUUAAUAUCACCACUCCUCUUACACAUUUCAGACAUGAUGGGAAAAGAAACGUUAAAUGAUCUAACAUGCAGUUCCUCUAAAAUACUCAGAAAUAUUCUUAUACUCCCCCAAAACAAUGGAAGAGCAGGCAUAUCAUGCAGCACCUUAUAAGCCAUAAAGAGGACUUUAGCUCUCACGGUACCCUCUAAGGAAAAUCACUAAAUAGGAAGUAGGAUCCUUAAAGAAUUUAAGGGUAUGGGACAAAAGAUGCUCCUAUUUGGGAGCUAGAGAAAUAAAUGGCUUUUUAGGAAACCUUUCCAUGGAAGCAGAGCAUUCUAUACCACAUUUUAAGGUCUGAAAUUCUUUCUGACCUUCGUAUCCCUCGUCUCUGUUAUCUGCUUCAUUCAUGCUUACCUACCUGAGAAGCUGACUACUGUCUCAUGUCUCUUCACAUUCCAGGGCUCUUUUAUUUGCUCAAAGCAGGAUAUCAGAUCAGAGUUAGAGACAGCAAGGCCUGUUUUGUUAGAAAAAUUAGCAUGACUUUCUGGGAUCCUCCAGUUACCAACCUAGUACUAUGUUCAGUAGAGAGGAGAGAAUAUUAUGAAAGAUUCUAGAAAUUUAAUUCCAAAAUACUGUUUUCUGACAGAAACUUUUGAAUAUUUAAAACAUACGUGACAUUUCUGGGUCCUUAGCUCUACUAUCCAAUACUGAAUAUAAAAUUAGUGCUGGAUAUUGGAUUUUAAUAUUUGUGCAACAGUAUUUAAUGCCACUGAAUUUCUAGAAUUAUCAUUAAUCUAGAGUGAAGGAUACAGAUUAGCUCAAGAGAGGGGAAGUUUCCUGUUAAAACAUCUUGAAGAUUUUCUU
rnacentral:lncRNA from 1 species